rnacentral:rRNA from 1 species
GAUGAACGCUGGCGGCGUGCCUAAUACAUGCAAGUCGAGCGAACGGACGCGAAGCUUGCUUCUCUGACGUUAGCGGCGGACGGGUGAGUAACACGUGGAUAACCUACCUAUCAGACUGGGAUCACUUCGGGAAACCGUAGCUAAUCCCGGAUAAUAUCUUGAACCGUAUGGUUCAAUAGUGAAAGACGGUCUUGCUGUCACUUAUAGAUGCAUCCGCGCUGCAUUAGCUAGUUGGUAAGGUAACGGCUUACCAAGGGAACGAUGCAUAGCCGACCUGAGAGGGUGAUGGGCCACACUGGAACUGAGACGCGGCACAGAGUCCGACGGGAGGCAGCAGUUGGGAAUCUUGCGCAAUGGGCGAAAGCCUGACGGAGCGACGCCGCGUGAGUGAUGAAGGUCUGCGGAUCGUAAAACUGUGUUAUUAGUGAAGAACAUAUGUGUAAGUAACUGUGCACAUCUUGACGGUACCUAAACAGAAAGCCACGGCUAACUACGU